GAUUAAUGCCCCAUAGUAUAUAAACUUCGCAUGUUGUUUAUAUUAAAGUUCCAACGGUAAAAGAUGAGCAUGCGUCCCAUUAGUUAGUUGGUAAGGUAACGGCUUACCAAGACGAUGAUGGGUAGGGGUCCUGAGAGGGAGAUCCCCCACACUGGUACUGAGACACGGACCAGACUCCUACGGGAGGCAGCAGUGAGGAAUAUUGGACAAUGGGCGCAAGCCUGAUCCAGCCAUGCCGCGUGCAGGAAGAAGUAUCUAUGGUGCGUAAACUGCUUUUGUACAGGAAGAAACACUCCCUUUUUUGGGAGCUUGACGGUACUGUAAGAAUAAGGAUCGGCUAACUCCGCGCCAGCAGCCGCGGCAAUACGGAGGAUCCAAGCGUUAUCCGGAAUCAUUGGGUUUAAAGGGUCCGUAUGCGGGCUAAUAAG
rnacentral:rRNA from 1 species